UAACUUAUAUGCAGAGUACAUCAUGAGAAAGGCUGGGCUGGAUGAAUUACACUCUGGAAUCAAGAUUGCUGGGAGAUAUAUCAAUAACCUCAGACCCCUGCGAUUUCCCCAAAUGUGGGAAACUCGACUGCAUAAUUUGUGGUGGUGGGGGACUGCGUUCGCGCUUUCCCCUG
ensembl:snRNA U1 U1 spliceosomal RNA